UCUCAAUUAACUAAUUAAUUUAAAAAAAAAAAACAAAAAAAACAAAAAAGGACUAAGUAAAUGAUGAUGAAUACUAAAUGUAGAACUUCUUCCUCAACCAAGAAUGAUGACAUCCACUUCUUUACUUCCAUACAGAACAUUAAAUGAAUCUUCUUUAUGUGGGAAUCUUUCAGACCCAAGAGGAAAGAACUAAAGAUACUCACAUGGAUGUUGACAUCAGGGAUUUCCCUAAAAAAGACCCAGGCUAGCCUAACAAACAGGAAAUCUCACCAUGAACAAGCCUCACCCACUCACUCAGAGCUUCCAGGCAGCUCUUGAGGCCCCCACUUCUAAAUAUGAGGAGGCAAUUGAGCACAAAGAGAUCUGAGAAAAACCUGAACAGAAAAAAAAUGUAGUGAAAAUAGAAAGUAUGCAGGAAGAAGAAUAACAAAACUCUCAAUGUCUUCAGAGAGGUCACGAAUUCUUAUUUCAAUGUACUCAUGAAGUCAGAAUUGGAAACUAUAAAAAAAUUUUCAGAAAAUGAAAAAGAGCCCUUAGGAAAAAAACAGAAGGAGGGCCCAGUAACCCCCCAGCAUGAUGCCUGAAAAUAGACUGUCUUAGUCCAUUUGUGUUGCUAUAACAAAAUAGCUGAGACUGAGUCAUUUAUAAAGAACAGAAAUUUAUUUUCUCACAGUUCUAGAGGCUGGGGAGUUCGAGAUCAAGGGGCUGGCAGGUUCAGUUGUCUGAUGAGGGCUGCUCUUUGCUUCCAAGAUAGCGCCCUGAAUGCUGCAUUCCCCAGAGGGGAGGAGUGCUGUGUCCCCACAUGGCAGAAAGCAGAAGGGCAAAGAGGGUUAGACUCCCUCCACUAAGCUCUUUCAUAAGAGCACCUAAUCCCAAGGAGAAGUGCUCUCAUCAUCUAAUAACCUUUUAAAGGACCCACCCCUUAAUACCAUCACCUUGGCCAUUGAGUUUCAACCCAUGAAUUUUGGAGGGGACACAUUCCAACCAUAGUAUGGAUUCAUGCCAGUGAACUGGGUUCAGAGAGAAGAUUCUAGAAGUUUCCAGAAAACACAACACACAAAAGUUAGGGGAUCUGAAUAAGUUCAGAUUUCUCAAAAGGAACUGUGGAACAUAGAAUACAGUAGAACAAUGCUUUCAAAAUUCUGAGGGAAAAUUAUUUCCAACCCAGUAUUCUAUAGUCAGUCAAGUAGCAAAUCAAGUAUGGGUGAGGAAUAAAAACAUUUUUAAAGACUUGUAUAUUCUCAAAAACUUUACCUCCCACACACCCUUUCUCAGGAAGCUAGUGGAUAAAAGAUGUGCUCUACCUGAAGGAAUGAGUAAACCAAGAAAGAGGAAGACAGUAACCAGGAAGAAGGAGAUCCACACAGGGGAGAGGCAAAAGGAAUCCACAGGAUGUUGGUAAAGGGAGAAUGUUAGCUGAGAAGCAGCUCAGAUGACUCUGGGAGAGGCUUUUUUCUAGAAGACAAAAAUCAGAUGCUUGAUGUGACUGAACAUACUGAAAGGAGACAUAGUUCUCAUGUCUUGGUACUACCCUCACCAGCUGUUGCCUGUGAAGCAAAUCUUUUGCAGUGGUUCCAGUACUAUGCUGAUAGACUACACAAAGAUGCUUGCUGGCUUCAGAGUGAUUUUAUUCGAAUGAACAUGCCCUCUGGACCCUUGGGGCGAUGUCUAAUUUUCUUGGGGUGAAGGGAACGGUGUGCGGAUUUAAGGUCUGUACGAACCCUCACAUCCCAGGUAUGGAAGCAUAAGAAAACUGAAAAGCCCAGGCUUAAUCUUAAAAUAGAUAAAAGGAAACUCACAAGCAAUGACGUUACAACCACUCGGAGCGAUCCGCUGCCAUUUCCUCAGACAACUGCACACAGGAGAGCCAAAGGUGCUUCUUUGGUAAAAUAACUAGUUCAUUAGCUUUAACACUGGCACUGCCUCAGCUGAGGGAUGAAACACUGGUACUGCCCCAGAUGACAGCAUUUGUUUGCGAUGGAGUCAACACAUGACUGAAAAGACCAAAAUAGUGGUUGCUGAAAGAAUUUAACAUGUUAUUGUUUAGCUUGACUCCAGUAACAAAAUCACCUCCUUCAUGUUGCUUUAAUCUUGGCCUAUACUCCAGCAGCUUUAUAGCUUGUCCAAUCCCCCUUCAUUGUAAGACAUGACAUUCUAGGAAUGAGCCUUCCUAGUGAUGUGGGACUAAACUCAAGGACAUAAAGGAGUCAAAAUUAUUGAGUUCAUCUAUGAUGCUUUCUUUGAAAGAUCUUGAUGGAAAGGGGAAAAUGUGCAAAUAAAUAAAAUUUAAAAGCUGUUGGAACCCAAAAACUCUUUAAGUUUUAAGAGAGAUUUAACUGUGAUCUGUCAUGCAACAUGUCGUUGUGACUUCUGCUUCUUAGAUUAUAGAUUAACUCUCUUCCUCAUUGUUCUUGUUUUGAAAAUGACUAGGAAAGACCAGGGACCAGAACUCCUCCCCUUUCAAUCACUGGUCUUUGCUAUAAAUUAACUGCCUCCUUAUUGUCCUAUACCUAAUUUAGGCCAGAUGGUGCAAAAGACCCCGUGACUGUCACAUCUUCAGUUUGGAACGUUAAAGAUACCUUUUCAGUAAAGAAAAAGAUCACCUCAACUAAUCAGAUUACUAAAACUAUGCAUUAGAAUUUAUAUAGAAAGAUGUUAAGAUUCUGUUAGGUAUCUACCUUAUAACUGACCUCAAACUUCUACACGUUGGAACACUGACUUCUAUUCUUUGGAAUCUGUGCUUCCUGGGUGAUCAUCCCCAAACUUAGCACUUGAAUAAACUCUCUUCAAACUAUAUCCUGACGCUUUUGAUUAUUUUAGGUUGACAAGAGAUUAGGUGUAUUUCCUGAAUUUCUUAGAGAGUAGCCGAGCUGGGAAUCAAAUUCCCAGCUCAUACUCUGAAUCAGUGCUGUGUGUCACC